rnacentral:tRNA from 1 species
GGUCUGGUAGUUUAGUUGGUUAGAAUGCUGCCCUGUCACGGCGGAGGUCGUGGGUUCGAGUCCCAUCCAGACCGC